UCACAGCAGUCAUCUGUCAAAGUGAGCUCUGGAGCUGACGGCCUACUUUACGUGUGGAGUAACUGCAGUCUGAGCUUCACCACUCCGAUUAGUUUCUGCUUUGUAAGCUCAGCUUCCGGUUCAGGGACCUCGCACGUGAACUGGGGAGACCUGCCGGGGCUCAGAAAUGGCUCCGAGACGUCUCCCAGUCUCCCGGCCGGCACAAAGCCCCCCACAGUGCCAGGAGACAGGGAAAACUCCAUCCGCUUCGCAUACACUAAGCUGGAAAGCACCCGGAGAGAUCCGUGAAGCUGCUGCAGUCGGAGCCUUUGUCGUCGCCUGCGUUGCAGGCGUCAUCCAACACCGCGGGCGGAGGCCUGGGCUGGACGCGUGCCUUCGGGAGCCCCCAUUCUCUCUUCCACGUCCUCACGGGGGGAAGGAAGAGAGAUCCCUCCAUCGGGCCAUUUCCCGUAACAGUCUCACCCUCCUGGCGUAUUGUGAAGCGAGAGCCGUUGUGAGGAGCUGCGAUAGAAGCAGAGAGCGUGCCAGUGUCACAUCCACCCUCGGCCCGGCCCAAAUCCCAGAACAGCGUGUCACCAGGACCCUCCCGCCUGCCCACCCGAGGCCUGGGUGAUCUCUCACUGUUCUGCUCUUGGAGGCUCCUGUGAUGCGGGAGGGUGUCAUGUAAUCUUGCUGAGAAUAUUCUCAGUGAGGAGCCACUGCUGGUCACGUUCUCGAUCAGACUCCACCGCCCAGCAGCGCAGUCCUUAGGUUGGCAUGGCGAUUUGGCGGUUAGUACUUCUGUCUCACAGCAGGGGGUCCGGGGUUUGAUUGGGGGACAGCUCGUCCUUCUGCGCGAAGCCUACAUGCUUCCCCCCACCCCCCCCGUUCAAGGGGAUUUUCGGCUGGUUUCCUCCCACAAUCCGCAGGCAUGCAGCUACCGGGGGGAUCAAGUCUCCCGAUUCGCGAGCAGAGGAAGGGGACCCCGGGACGUGACAAGUGUGGAAUCAGCUCGGAAGCCGAGAGACGUCACAUAGCGAGGGGAGAAUAAAGAGAAGACAAAAUCCACUGCCAGGUAUGACAGGCACGGGAAAAAUAUCCCCAUCCCAAUUUCCACUGGUCAGGCUUUCAUUAUGAUGAAGAUCCUUUAAAUCCCACCAGAAUGUCCUGCAGACCGGAGGGGGCUCUUUAACGGGGCAGAAGGAAAUGAAACAUCUCCCCGGCUGCACAACAUCUAGACGUUUUUCUUACAUCUGACUUGGAAAUGAAGGCGACUGUUGUUGUAAGGAAUCCCUCUUUAUUAAAAUGCCAAUGGAAAGCAAACCCCCUUCGGCAGUAGGUACUGUAGGACUGUGAAAACAGGAUAGGAACAAGAACCUUGGUUUAAAACUGGCUGUAGGGAAAAGCUGUUUGGGGCGUCGAGGCAGGUGGGCGCAGGACAUGCCAGUGUGCCUCCAUGUGAGAUUUUCUGUUUCGUCACACAAAGUCCGUGCAUUCCAACAGAGAUCUCACUCUGCCUUGAGCAUCUGUUUCUUGUUUUUUUUUUACACUGUUUUUUUUUGGACACUGGUCCGGAUGAAUGCCCAGAGACACCCAAAUAUUCGGAUGAUCAUCUGACCUUUAAACUGAAAUCCUUAACACGGUUCUAAACAAGUGACAAGGAACUGCUUUGUUUUUGCAUUUUCACUUUUGUCCUUUUGACAAAGAUGCCUACAGUACAAUGAGCUCUCAGAAGACAAGUAUUGGGGGCAGUGAAGGCCAGAGGGAAAAGGAGCUCAUUAGGUUGAGGUCAUAAAUAACUAAAACAUUCUGUCUUCUUGACUUGCCAAACCUGUAUUGCGAAUCUCAUAUGAUGACCUGUAACCUCGACACAGGAGAAUUUCAGAAAAAAACAAGUUUUCCUCAAAGAGCCACUGUAGAGGAGAAACAACAACAUAGUUUGGCAAUUGGAUUCAUAAACAUAAUUAUGCUCGUUGUUGCUGAAGCUGUACCGACAGAUUUUUGGAUGCAAAUCUGGAGUUGAUGUAAUUUAUUAUCACCCUUUCCUUAAUUGCUGUCAACUUUUAAUCAUGUGAAAAAGAUACACUGUGAGUGUUUUGUAAACAAGGAUUCAUCUGAUCAUCCUAUUUUUCUUCUUCAGGACCUUUAGUUAAAAACAGACCAUGGAUUUCUUGGGUUGGGUUUCAGGGGAUGGUUAUGGAACAAAAAAUGAGAUUGUUUUUCUAUAUGACGGUUCAGUUUUGUGCCGGUUCUUCCCCACACCCUCCAGAAAACUGAUCAGCAAACACGUACGUGAACAAGCACAACCACAUCAAUACCUAUCAACAGCCACUUGCCUUGUUCCCCUUGACUGCUCUGUGUGUACAAACAUGUUCAUGCCAUUACCAAAAGAGUUAUUCACUUCAGAAUUUUAUAACAGAAGCAAAACAGAAACCGUCUCAGUAAGCACAAUGCUUUUAUUUUUGUUACUGAAAUAAUUGAAAGCUGAGAGCUUCCUCCAGCAGCACAACAGGUUGAGACAGGAUCAAACUGAACGAUAACUUCAGCUCUAACAGGCCAAAAAUACCUCCAAUAAUGCAAGAAAGCAAGACGUCUGAGCUCCUCCCUUCUCUUCUCCUUUCAGUAGCUGUGUACCUGCUGACAUGUGGCAUCAGAUUGACUGGAAUCUCCUUAGUGCAGGGCAAAAACAGUGCAGUGCUGUGGGUCAAGGGUGCAAAUUUAAUGCCAAGGAUUUCUACUGUCUCACACUGAUUUUUCUGAACCGUUAAAUAAACUGGUAUCUAAAGAUA